rnacentral:lncRNA from 1 species
AUGAGAACCAUUAUUCACAUUCAUUCCUUGCCCUACAAGCUUGGCCAUUUCUGGUGGACACACCCAGAUCCCACUAACUUUCCCUCCAGAGCGAGCUGGCUCGGGGAGACCCGGCUGCCACCGCGACGCCUUGGGGCCCGGGCGGUACCGACGCACGGAGCCACGGGGAGAGGGUGGCAGCGACCCCGGCCAAGCCCGACGCGGGGCAAGAGCAUCUGGUCCGGCCCUGGCGGCAGCUGGAGAGUUCCCGGGGCUCCCGCGGCCACGCCGAGCUGUGCCGCCGGCGGGGCGGUGGCCGGCAGGGGUGCCCGGAGACCCGGCGCGGCGGAGGGAUGCCCACGGACCCAUCCCCCCGCGCCCCCCCGCGGUCCUCCCGGGGAGGGGACCCCAUUGUACGCCGCGGGCGAUGGGCAGGCGGCGGCGCGGGGGCUGGCGCGCGUUCGCUUCCCCUCCGCGGCUCCCCGCUCGUCCUGGGGGCGCCGGGCGCGUCCCGGGGGCGCAGACCGCGGGGCCCCCACCCCGGCCGGCCGCGGGGCCUCCCUGCCUCCGCUCGCUGCCAAACUUUCCAGCCCCGACCGCGCGCCGGGCCCGGGGGCGGGCGCCCCUCCACGCCGUGGCGAGCCAGGCCAGGCCCGCGCGGCGCGGGUGCGGGGCGGGGCGGGCGGGGCGGGUGCCCGGGCCGGGGGCGGCGGGCGCGCGUGGGCAGCCCCCGGCCCUGGGCGGCGCUCCCCGGCUGGCUACAAAGCCUCGGCAAGAUGGUCCCUUCGCCUCCUCCUGGCACAGUCAAUCAGCGCCCGCCGCUCCCCGGGCGCCCGCGGGGCCCGCGCUCCCCGCGCGGCCGGACACACCUCCCCGCGGCCACCUGCGCCCGGCGCGAGCCCCCGGGCAAACUUCGCGGCCGCGGGCGGAGGUGGGCGCCGGCGGCCCCGUGCCCGGCCGCUCCCCGCCCCCAUCGCCCGCCCGCCCGCCCGCCCGCGCGCUCACCUUCCACCGCGGCGAGCAGCGGCAGCAGCAGCAGCGCGGCCCCCAGCCUCCGCAGGGCCAUGGCUGCGCCUCCCGGGGCCUCGGGCCGCCGCGCCGCGGGACCCGGGCGGCAGCGCGCGCCCCGGGCUCGGGGGGCCGGGGGGGGCGGCGAGGCGCGGCGCACACACAGCCGCCGCCACCGCGCAGCCAGCAGAAUGA